rnacentral:rRNA from 1 species
CAGCCGCCACGGUAAUACGAAGGGUGCAAGCGUUACUCGGAAUUACUGGGCGUAAAGCGUGUGUAGGUGGUUGUUUAAGUCUGUCGUGAAAGCCCUGGGCUCAACCUGGGAACUGCGAUGGAUACUGGGCGACUAGAGUGCGGUAGAGGAUAGUGGAAUUUCCGGUGUAGCAGUGAUAUGCGUAGAGAUCGGAAGGAACAUCUGUGGCGAAGGCGACUAUCUGGGCCAACACUGACACUGAGACACGAAAGCGUGGGGAGCAAACAGGAUUAGAUACCCGUGUAGUCCCUGUCUCUUAUAC